rnacentral:rRNA from 1 species
GAAAGCAUCUAAGUGCGAAGCCGGCCCCAAGAUGAGAUCUCCCACCCUGGUUCGCCAGGGGUAAGACCGCAAGUAGAUUACUUGUUUGAUAGGCGGCGUGUGUAAGUGCAGUAAUGUAUUUAGCUUAGCCGUACUAAUGGUCGAGGGCUUGACCUG